rnacentral:lncRNA from 1 species
AGGGGUUCAGGAGGGCCGGGGGCUUACAAUGGCCGUGUAGUGGUUCUCAGAUUGCUGAGAGAGGCGCCGGAGAGGGCGAAUUUACAACGGUGAUCUGAGAGGGAGACGGAGUGCGGUGGUCGAUGUAGGGGUGGCGACAUCGAUCUCGUGGGCGUGGCAGACGGAGUGGUCGACCGUGGUCCUCUCGGACUCGUCAUCGCGACAUAUGGCGAGAGGAGGCUACGUGGGCUAGCUGGCAAUGGCGAUGACCGUAGCGGCCAUUACAUCGGUAGAGAGCAAAGACACGAGGGGGGAACGUGGGGAGUGAACAAGGGCGAGAGGGGAGAGCGUCUAGGGUUAGGCCGCGGGGCUCGUCGGUGUUUUAAAGGAGGGAGUCGACCGGGGAAUGGCCGCCAUGGCGGUCUGGCACAGCCACGGCCAGCCGAUGACCGCCAUGAUCCCCUCCGCCUCGUGUAACAAGGUUAGGGAUGGGGGAGGAGAGG